CCUACGGGAGGCAGCAGUAAGGAAUAUUGGUCAAUGGGCGGAAGCCUGAACCAGCCAUGCCGCGUGCAGGAAGACUGCCCUACGGGUUGUAAACUGCUUUUGUACCGGAAUAAACCUUGAUUCGUGAAUCAAGCUGAAUGUACGGUAAGAAUAAGGAUCGGCUAACUCCGUGCCAGCAGCCGCGGUAAUACGGAGGAUCCAAGCGUUAUCCGGAUUUAUUGGGUUUAAAGGGUGCGUAGGUGGCUUUUUUAAGUCAGGGGUGAAAGACGGUAGCUUAACUAUCGCAGUGCCUUUGAUACUGAAGAGCUUGAAUGAACUAGAGGUAGGCGGAAUGUGACAAGUAGCGGUGAAAUGCAUAGAUAUGUCACAGAACACCAAUUGCGAAGGCAGCUUACUAUGGUUUAAUUGACACUGAGGCACGAAAGCGUGGGGAUCAAACAGGAUUAGAUACCCUGGUAGUCCACGCCCUAAACGAUGAAUACUCGAUGUUGGCGAUAUACGGUCAGCGUCUAAGCGAAAGCGUUAAGUAUUCCACCUGGGGAGUACGCCCGCAAGGGUGAAACUUAAAGGAAUUGACGG
rnacentral:rRNA from 1 species